GAAAUGCGAUAAGUAGUGUGAAUUGCAGAAUUCAGUGAAUCAUCGAAUCUUUGAACGCACAUUGCGCCCCUUGGUAUUCCAUGGGGCAUGCCUGUUCGAGCGUCAUUUGUACCCUCAAGCUCUGCUUGGUGUUGGGUGUUUGUCCCGUCUCCGCGCGUGGACUCGCCCCAAAAGUGAUUGGCAGCCGGCGUACUGGUCCCGGAGCGCAGCACAUGUCGCGCAAACGAGUGCCUUGGUACGGCGGCGUCCAUAAGCCCCUCUCUCACGCUCUUGACCUCGGAUCAGGUAGGGAUACCCGCUGAACUUAAGC
rnacentral:misc_RNA from 1 species